GCCAGGUGUGGUGGUGUACAUCUGUAAUCCCAGCAGCUGGGGAGGCUGAGGCAGGAGGAUCGCCAGUUCAAAGCCAGCCUCAG
rnacentral:sRNA from 1 species